rnacentral:lncRNA from 1 species
UUGUAGCGUCUAUGAUAUAAAUGAAGGUGCGUACAAGCACACAUGAAUAAAACGGUAUGAGCUUAAUUUAAAGUCAGUCAAUACAAAAUAUGGACGUAUCUCUGCCAAACGGAACUAUGUGCAUUAUGAUGUGAGCUCUGUUAAGCAUAUAUUCUUAUGGGUCUCAGGGCUCAUGUCUUAAUGCACAUAGUUCUGUCUGGCAGAAAUACGUCCAUAAGUCAAUUAAAACUUUAAGUUGACUCAAAUGGAAUUUUUUACCUGAAGGAAUUUCGUAAUGUCAUUUCUACACCUUGAGCUUCUGCUACUUGCUUCGUGUAGCGUUGCAGCAUGCAGAGACCGAUGAUUAACGCAAGCAUAAUAAAGAUGAAGACCAACAGCACCUACAGCACCAUAAAAAAAGGAGUAGGAGCUGCGAUAAUGUGCAAAUCACCGGUUCUUUUUCUCCGAGCUGGUGACACAGUUGUCGUCAUAAGAGACGGGAUGAUGGCUAACGGAGCCGUGUUGGCUGAAGUGGUAGUUGUGGGGGCAACAGUGCUGGUGGUUGUUAAUCUUGAUGGGAACAUAUACUCCAGACCUAAACACUGACUGCACGUUGAUUUGUUUGAGCUCGAGUUGAUGGUUUCACCAUCCCCCACAAACACAUCACUAUUCACGGAGUCGCUGGGGAGAAAAAUAUUUGAAAAACAAUAAGUAUUUCAGAAAACAUUUGCUGGAUAAAGAGAUGCAAUGAAUAAGAAAAUACAUUUCAAGACUAAAAUUUGUCACAUUUUGGUGUCUGAUAUAUCCUUUCUCAAUCCUUUUGUAGCAAGGUAUGAUCACUAUGGUGAUUGAGACAGCACCAAAUUUUCCCAAUAUCUUACUAAACUUUUUACUUAAAGACCUUUAAGGAGGUUUGCAGACAACUCGAGUUGUGACAGUCUCUAAUAUCAUGGUAUUAUCAGGUGGGAGGAAUUUCUUAUUAUCUUAAAAUUCGGUUUCCUUACACACACCGAUUCUAAAGUAGCUAUUAAAACAACGAGUUCAAAAGAUAUCAAACCUAUAUGAUUAUAAUUUUACCUGUCAAACAUAUCUGCCAGGUAAGCGCCGCCUCUUUUAUUAUGAUGAACAUCCUGAUAGGAUGAAAUAGUUAAAUCCUCGGGGGCAUGGAGAUCAGCAACAUUUUGGUGCGGUUCUAAUUUGACCACAAACAACCUGAAAAAAAAAAAUAGGUUUAAAGGAGAGAUAACUCUAAAUAAUAAUUGAACUGACGAGGAAUUUAUCAAAUAUUGAUUGUCUUGCACAAUUUGCAAAGCAAC